AAUAACCAAAUAUAACACUUGGGCUAAGAGUUAAGUUGAAAAUUUUUCUUACAUACCUAACAAAAUUAAGUGAAUACCCAAAAUUGUUGUCAUUUUAUUUGGAUCUUUCCA
rnacentral:antisense_RNA from 1 species